rnacentral:lncRNA from 1 species
GAAGGCUGCUUGGGUAAUAAAGGACACAGGGGGAGCUGUCCGUUGGCCUGGGUGCUGAAAUAUAAUUCCAAGUCGUUGUGUCCAAUAGUAUAACAUUUGAAAGUAAUGUAAGGCCGUGUCUAAAGAGGAAUUAAUGAUUGGAAAACGUUUGUGUAGCCUAUGAAGCAAAGGAGGAAAACAUGGGAUUAUAUCACAUCGAGAGUUCCUUUGACGAAGACAUUUGGUUGAGGACUAUCCUUCCCUAAACUAUAUUCAGCAGUCCACCAGCCUGAUGCAUUGGGGACCAUAGAGUGAACCAAGAUGCCUAAGAUCAGCACGGAGCAGUCUUAUCCCAGCCACGGCCGCUGUUCGGUAAACACCCCCGACAACCUGGACCAGAUUGAGAGUGGCAGCAGGUAAGAAAUGUACAGGAUUUUACCAGCUUGGGUUUAGUUUAGGAUUUGAAAGCUUUUACUUUGAAGAGCCAACAACACACAGACUCUGUUUUUGAAUGCCAGUAAGCGUUCUGUGCGAUCAUCAUUUAUUGCCGUGUAGUGACACUCCAAACACAGGAAACACAAACGUUGACACAUCCCAAGCUAGUACAAUUUCAGUGUAUAUUUUUAGCCUGGUGGAGGCCUCACUCUCUUCCUGGUGUCCUCUCUACGCUGCAGCCAUGAGGACCAACUGGACCCCUCCUUCACGGGGACAGGAGGCAUGUCCAGGCUGUCUCGCUUCAUGGUGUUGGUGA